rnacentral:rRNA from 1 species
UACGUAGGGUCGCGAGCGUUGUCCGGAAUUAUUGGGCGUAAAGAGCUUGUAGGCGGUUUGUCGCGUCUGCUGUGAAAUCUCAAGGCUCAACCUUGAGCUUGCAGUGGGUACGGGCAGACUAGAGUGUGGUAGGGGAGACUGGAAUUCCUGGUGUAGCGGUGAAAUGCGCAGAUAUCAGGAGGAACACCAGUGGCGAAGGCGACACGCUGGGCCGUACCUGACACUGAUGCGCGACAGCAUGGGGAGCAAACAGG